CGGACGGGUGAGUAACGCGUGGGUAACCUGCCUCAUACAGGGGGAUAACAGUUAGAAAUGGCUGCUAAUACCGCAUAAGCGCACAGGACCGCAUGGUCUGGUGUGAAAAACUACCGGUGGUAUGAGAUGGACCCGCGUCUGAUUAGCUAGUUGGAGGGGUAACGGCCCACCAAGGCGACGAUCAGUAGCCGGCCUGAGAGGGUGAACGGCCACAUUGGGACUGAGACACGGCCCAG
rnacentral:rRNA from 1 species